UCGGGAAUUUUGGGCAAUGGGCGAAAGCCUGACCCAGCAACGCCGCGUGAGGGAUGAAGUAUUUCGGUAUGUAAACCUUGAAAGAAUGGGAAGAAUAAAUGACGGUACCAUUUAUAAGCUCCGGCUAACUACGUGCCAGCAGCCGCGGUAAUACGUAGGGAGCAAGCGUUGUUCGGAUUUACUGGGCGUAAAGGGCGCGUAGGCGGCGCGGUAAGUCACUUGUGAAAUCUCUGAGCUUAACUCAGAACGGCCAAGUGAUACUGCUGUGCUAGAGUGCGGAAGAGGCAACCGGAAUUCUUGGUGUAGCGGUGAAAUGCGUAGAUAUCAAGAGGAACACCUGAGGCGAAGGCGGGUUGCUGGGCCGACACUGACGCUGAUGCGCGAAAGCCAGGGGAGCAAACG
rnacentral:rRNA from 1 species